rnacentral:rRNA from 1 species
AAUGAACGCUGGCGGCGUGCUUAACACAUGCAAGUCGAGCGAGAAAGUACCUUCGGGUGCGAGUACAGCGGCGAACGGGUGAGUAACACGUGGGUAACCUGCCCUGGAGACCGGGACAACCAUUCGAAAGGAUGGCUAAUACCGGAUAUCCUGCGGAAUCGCAUGGUUCCGUAGAAAAGGUAGCUUCGGCUUCCGCUCCUUGAUGGACCCGCGGCCCAUUAGCUUGUUGGUAGGGUAACGGCCUACCAAGGCGACGAUGGGUAGCCGGCCUGAGAGGGUGAUCGGCCACACUGGGACUGAGACACGGCCCAGACUCCUACGGGAGGCAGCAGUGGGGAAUCUUGCGCAAUGGGCGAAAGCCUGACGCAGCAACGCCGCGUGGGGGAAGAAGGCCUUCGGGUUGUAAACCCCUGUCAGGAGGGACGAAGCCACCUGCGUUAAUGGCGUAAGGGGUGACGGUACCUCCAGAGGAAGCCCCGGCUAACUACGUG